ACGGGGACCUGAACAAGUGGUGGAGCAUGUUGCUUAAUUCGAUAAUACACGAAAAACCUUACCAAGGUUUGACAUCCCUCGCAAAGCUAUAGAAAUAUAGUAGAGGUUAUCGAGGUGACAGGUGGUGCAUGGCUGUCGUCAGCUCGUGUCUUGAGAUGUUUGGUUAAGUCCCWCAACGAGCGCAACCCCACUCUUUAGUUA
rnacentral:rRNA from 1 species